rnacentral:rRNA from 1 species
ACGUAGGAGGCAAACGUUAUCCGGAUUUACUGGGCGUAAAGCGCGUGUAGGUGGUUCUGUAAGUAGGGCGUGAAAGCUCCUGGCUCAACUGGGAGAGGCCGUUCUAAACUGCAGAGCUAGAGGAUGGUAGAGGGAGGUGGAAUUCCGGGUGAAGCGGGCGCCUGCACCUUUUCUCACCCUGAGACGAGAGGUCUGAGCUAGCUCCGGGAACAUUCCUGACCUGCGGCCUUGUAUCCUAGUGAACUUCCAGG